UUGCUCUAUCAAAUAGUGUUAUUGUGCUCUUGGUUGUAGUUUCUGUGGAAAUAAAUAGGAGGCGACUUGGACUUGAAAAGGUUUUGUCUCUCCACACCUGUCCUUUGUUACAGCUGACUUUGAUGUGACAAAUUUGUCUCCCAUCACGCUGUGUUUCUUCACCUUUUCCAUCUGCAGAGGUGUCUUAUGUUGAAGGCUGUUCUGGUGGAAGUUGGUUGUCCAGAGUUAAUUUUAUUUUGUUUGGUUUUGAGCACAACAUCUGAAGCCCUCGUUUGGUGGUAACCUGCCCUUUAGGUAUGAGGGAUUGCUGUCAGAGUGAAUCCAGACAGGCAUUCGUGGCAGAGGCAAUGAGUGGGAAUUUCUUGAACUCUAACUGGAGACAGAGGGCUCAUGUUUUUUGAAGGUCUGCCAUUUCAGGGGAAAGAGAUUUGUCUUCAAUUUGUGCAGUCUGGAAGAAUCAAAGAAUCUGCCAGAAAGACCAAAACUCUCUAUUCCAGUUGUUUCUGUCUUAGGUUUUCCUGCUGUGGGAUGUGGAGGUGGAGGGUGAGGGCCAGGGUUUUUUUUACUUCCCACAAAUGACAGUAUCCUUUAAUUUGGAUGCAUUGCAAGGAAGACAUUUGUUUCCUUUAAAGCUCAACCAAUCCUCCUCCUUCAUGUUGUCUUUCUGAAGUGAAAGCUGUUCCGUUUAGCAAUGGCUGGGCUUUCACGAGCCCUCUCCUGAUGUUGACAAACUCUGGACUUCUGGAGAGAAGCCAAAAAGAUUAAAAUUGUCACAUCAGCUUUUUUUUUUUUUUUUUUUUUUCUUUAAUGGGAUGAUUCUUAAACCACAAGUUGAGCUGCCUUUCAGUUCAUCUUACCUUAAUGUUCCCAUGCUGGUGUGGUUUCUCUCAAAGCGAUUUUGCUCUUCUGUGUGACGAAUGGAAGGAGCACAGGGCUUGGAUACCUGCAUUCUGCAAAUGAUUUUACAUGUUAUCAUUGAUGCCUGCCAUGUCAUUCCUGUUCUGUUUUAACUGUGAAUAGUUUUGAAGGGAUGUUAAAACCUCAAACUUGGAGACUUAGCACAAAGAACUGCUGAUAUGGGCGGUUACAAUAAUUGUCUGCCAUUUUAAUGAUUAGAUGGUCCUGAUGCAGUGGAGUGUCUGCACUGGGUCUGCUGUUGAGAAAUACAGAUACUGGUGAGUUAUGCAAUGUGAGCUGAGAGUUUAGUGGGUAACAUCUGAUUUUUUUUCUAAUGUGAUCAUUUGAAGUUUGAUGUCUUCCUGACAACUUUACUUGGCUCUUCAUAGCAAUUUUCAUGCCUUGAAAAUAUGCAGGGGUUAGGUGGGGGAUCAUGUUCUUUGAUAAGGGCCUAGGAUUCUUUUAAUAACAAGGACUCUUUUGUUACAGGCUGAUCUUGUGCUACCUUGGUGUGGGAGUGGUGAGGUUUAGAAUGGAUGGUGUCACUAAUUAGUGACCACAUGAAAACUUUUCCAAUCUGCAUUGCUUCCAGACAAAUUAAGCUAUGUGUCGAGGCGAGGACAUUUGGUGAUCCUGAGAAGCCAGUUAAUAUUAUUCUUAGACCACAAGGAAUUUCCACUUACUGUAAAGCUGUCAGGCUGUUCCUCUUCUCCCCGUCAGUGAGACUGCAGCUUUGUUCUCUGUGUGUCCAGUGGCACUGCAGUGAUGUGUUGGGGCAGUGAUGAUACAGACCAUUAACAGCAGCGUGCUGCUUGUGUGAGUUUCUGCAGGAGCAGCCAGGGUGUGGGACAGCUAUAAAGUGCUUGGUCAGGUUAAAGAGCAUAAUGAAAUUAAGGUUUGCAGCAGGAAACAUUUAUUGUUAGCAGUCUAGCCACAUGCUUGCUCACCAUCUCAUAGAGGCCCAGAGUGCCAGCAGGUGAAUGUUACAACAUGUUGGUUCUUACAGGCCUAGAUGAAGGAGUACCAGCUGCUCAGCAGAGCAGCAAAAGCGUGGCAGGUUUGGUGUGUGAGUUUGGUUUUCUGAUGAUGUAUCCAGUCGUUGAGAAAGCCAUCAAACACACUUUGUGUUGCUCUGUAGAGUGCUGGGAGCAGUCCUGAGCACAGCAGGAAUAUAAUGAAGACCUGUCAGAAAGCUGCGUUCUUGGGCAGUGUUUCCAGUGGGCUGCGUCACCUGACUGGAGCUGUGACGUGCGUGGUCUGGAGGUGACGCAGAAUGUGUUUGCUGGGACUGGAGCUUUCAGGGUAGUCUGCUCAGGGCUCUCUGCUGGCACACUUCUGGGUGCAGGAGGGAGGUUUGGGGGAGCUGUAGGCACCAUCACUGAUCAGCCUGCAGGGAUAGACAAGCCUUUUGUACAGUGUGCUGUGUGAGCAGUUUGUGGACUGCAUGAAGGUCACAAGGGAGCGCUGCAUCUCUGGAAGUGGUGGGGGACAGAGGUGUGGGGGUGCAGGCUGGGUGCCAUCCGGCCUUGGGAGAACCGAUAAAUUUGGAUACAAUACCAAGUGAAUGUUGCUGGCUGUAGGAUUUAUAUUUUUGCUCCUGAGCAUGAGGCCUGUUGAAGUUUUGACCAUAAAUAAUUGCUAUCUCUCCAGCGCGUGGACUCUGGCUCUGUGCUUGGCCCUGUGUCCCAGCCCCCGCUCCGCUCAGCAGGGUCAGGGAGAAGGGAGAAGGGGCGGUGUCUUUGGCUGACAUGAGCCCGCUGGGGAGGGAUGAGAGGAAGGGGGUCUUGGGGGCUGGGUUCAGAGCAAGGUUAGCCAAAUAUCGGAUAAAUUAAGCAAGAGAAACAGACAGCUCAGCUUGCAGUGAACUUUUCACCCAGCUAACCUGUUGCUCACCCUGCAUUGCACAGGUGGAGUACAACUCAAGUAGAGCACAACCCUGGCUUUCCCUGCCUCCUCUUCUGCUGUAGUGUGAGGCAUGGCCAAGGAGAGAGCAGGAACUGAAAGGAGUUUGAUUUGUUGUUUUGAGUCCAGAAAAGAUCUGACUGCUGUCUUAAGAGCACUGAAGUUAAUGCUAAUAAUGGCCAUAGGGUUAGUUAGUGUUUGUUCCGGUGUAGAACCUCUACCAGUAAUUCGUGGUCAUAGAGAAUGGGGAAGAAAUUCCAUGCUGGACAGGGCAAGGAACAAACAGUGCCUGAACAGGAAUGGUUAGAGAUUCUAUGUGGGAAGAUGCAGGGCUGGUGGGAAUUCAGCGAAUUCUGAUGUUUAUAUUUCUCUGACUUUUCAUCUGCAUUUGCAGUGCAAGUAAAUACAAAUGAUUGCUGACAGAUGUUGUAAAAACAUAGCAUUAUGCUAACCAUUAAGCUUAAUUUUGUUCUCAGUUACUAAUGCACAUGGCAUAGUAUGGCCCUUAUUCACAUCACCUCUGUAUAAAUCAUGAACUUUCCUCCAGGAGUACGGAAUCCAGAACAGAAUUUAUUCUGUUGGCCUUCUCUGAAAUCAUUACUGCUUCUUCUCCCAAGAACUCUCCAAGCAAAUUGAAGUUAAUGGGGUGGCAGCUUUGUUGGAAAGUUAACAUCCAGUAGAGUGCUUAAACCCUCAAAGUUCUCUGGCUUCAGGUCAGUGUUUUGAAAUUGGAACUCCUCUUCUCUGAUCUUCCUUUUCACUCACUGUAGGUGAGGAAGGCCUGAAACCCACUGAAGUGCCUAUUGCACAGUAUUUCUGGGAGUUCAGCCCUUUAUUUUUGUAAGUGUGCCUAAAUUCCAUAAAACAGAGGUCUUCGCAGAGGCUUUGAAGAGCCUUUUAUCGGUAGUGAACUUUCAGAUGGUAAAUGCCAGGAGCUCUGUCUAAAAUGGAAGGAACAUUGUAUAAACCUAGAGAUAAGCACUGACUUCAGGGAGCUGUGAGCCUUCCUAGAGCUGUGAGUAUUUUCUGUUCUGCUCAGUGCAGGAGGAUGGCUUCCCUCCCCCAUUUUGGAUCUGGGAAGGAGGUCGAGUUUUUCUUGCUCUGCAUGUGCAUUUGAGUUCGUGUACAGCUCCUCAGGCACUGCCAGGUUUACAUUAGGUGAUUGGCUGCAAAGUAGUACUGACAGUGUCUCCCUUGGUAUCUCAAAUUCCUGGGUGUUGAGGAAGAACUGGAGCUCAGACUGCCAUUACCACACAGACCAGAUGUGCAUUCAAGCCAGCCCAACAUUGCCAUAGAAUGGUGGGGAGCUGGUGACAUGCCUUGGUGGUUCCAGAGCAAUGGGGCUUCACCCAGUGGGAGGGCAGGAAUGGCAGUGCUGUGGUGGAGCCCACUGUUACAGUUAGAGCUCACUAACUCCUCUCCUGCCAGGGAACAGGGAUGUCAUUCUGCUUUCUUAAAGUUCCAGCAUUUUGCCUGAUAGGUGAGAAAUGAAUGUAGAACGGGUGCACAAGCUUGGUAUUCCUAUUGACAGAAAGGGGCUGUAGGUCUCUUCUGUAGAUGGAGAAGAGUAGGGGUGUGUUAGAAGAAGGGGAGGAGAAAAAGAUUAUGAACUGCAGUGUAGUUUCUGGGCUUGCCUGUUGCAUCAGCCCGUUGCUGAUGCCACUGGUUACUUAGCAGGUUUUCUUCUCAUGCAGUUGUUUAAAAAGUAAAAGUAGCAGUCGAAAUCUGCACGAGGCAGCACUGCUCUCUGCUGCCCCAUCCCCUGCAAUGACAGAAGCAGUUCUGUACAUUUGGUGAACCCAGAGAAUGGAUUCUGUUUAAAGUCAUGUUUUUGUUUGCUUGUUUGGGGCCCUUGGUUUGUUGUUCUGGUUUUGUUUUGUUCCCUUGGGAUGGUCUGGCUGACUAAUUUUACAGCCUGUUGUUUUUCAAAUGCAGAUGUCACCACUGGAGAGAGAAUGGGGCAAGGACAAGUUCAGCGGUCACUAGAUAAGGAGGACCAUUUUUUUUCCAUCAGUUUGAAGAGAUUUGGCAGAGCUUUAAGUAACACAGUAAUUUUCCUAAAGCUUGUUCAACCUGCCAGCUAAAGUAUGUGUUCUCCACAAAAGUUUCUCCCUUUUAGACACGUUUGCAACACUUCCCAGACCACUUUGUUCUUUCACCUUAUGGCUUGAAACCCUUGUUUCAGGGCAAGCUUGUUUCUUCUACUGUAUUUUUACGGCCCCUUGAGUGACAUCAUUCAAAUGGUGAGUCUCUGAGAGAUGAUUCAUACCGAAAAAGAUCUAAUAAUUGUUACCAGUUAUUCAAAUCAGUGUUACUGAUUUCCCGCAUCCUCCCACUGGUCCCUUGAGCUUCCCCACCCACUCGUUUCUCCUAAUAAUUCCCAGGCUUUCUGGCUGUAUGCUCAGCGUGCCCUCCUCAGUGUUACUGUGCAAAGGUGUAAGUAUCUCGCCCUCCCCUGAGGAGCUCUUAGGGCUUGGCUGCAGCAGCUUGUGUAGGCAGAUACAGGCUGAGCUGAACUGGCAAGGUAGAGGUGGAUUGACGAGAGCCUCAGUAAAGCUUCGAACUGCUUUCACAGCACAUCUUCUGUUUCACUGCUGUGUCGGUAUUGUUGGCAGCCUCUGAUGUUCAAAGCUAGAUGAGUAAUGUGUUUGCAGGCUGUGGUGUUGGGGUGCACAGAACUCUGAACUAGAUUAUCCUGAGAAGCUCUGCAGGUUUUGGGGGUAAUUACAUGCUCUGUGCUAGCAAAGACUUGCACCAGUAGUCACCCUAUCAUGCUGCUGCUGUUCCAGUUUGUAGUGAAGAAUGUUUCUUCUGUUUCACGAACACAGAUGUGUAACUCAUGAAGCUUGUUUCUCCUGCACCAUGAAUUGAACUCUGUGCUGUGCAGUGAUUCACAUCAUCAGUGUAAAAAGCAAACUCUUAUUGGGAGCAGCUAUAUAUUGUUCUUCAUCCAGCUCCUCAGUCUGACCCCAUAUUUCCUUCACACCCUUUCUUCAUAUCCCUGCAUCCUUGUCUUUAAUCUUCCCUGUUUAAGUCCCUUCCAUGUGCAUUUUGUCAUUUCUCUUGCGCAUUCACCUUCUUAGUCGUUCUUUUUGUUGGCAGGGGCACACUUGAUUUUGCCCAGUGUUAUAUGGAUCUUGAGUAUCAGAGGUGGAAAGGGGUAAAUCUGGAUCAGUUCUGGAUGCCCAGAAUGAACACGCUGAUGUUCAUGUCUCUGCACGCUGUAAACCCAGCCUCAAAACAAGUCUGUGGCUCUUGUGGAGAGAACUGCUUUACGUGGCAGCAUCCUUUUGUGUUGCAUUGGAUUCAGCAUUGUGUUCAGGGCUGAAAUGCCCUGUGUGCCGUGCGUUGGCCCGGCAGGAUGAACUCACACAAAAUGAGUGUCAGAGCUGCCCUUUCUGGAAAAGUGAUAGGAAUUUAUGGCUGUCGCAUCUGCAGUAAAGCUGGCACCGCAGCCCUACUUCGUCAGCAGUAGGACAGCGGAGGGGAAAAAAAGCAUGGUAUAACCUUUGGUAUGUUAUUUAUUAUCAGUUUGCAGCCCCCUGGAAAAUGAACUUUAGAAAAUUCUGUGCUGAUGGUAACGAUGAACAUUGGGAAAACCCAGGAAUCAGCAAAUCCAUUGUGUUGCGCUGACAGAAAGAUACUGUUACAACACACUUUAGCUGCCAACUUGCUGCAGUCACUCAAUCCAUCAUGGUGGGCUGUUGGAUCACAAGGCAGUGAAACUCAGCCUGGCGUGUUAUUUUAGUCUUACAUGGACUGUGAGAUAAACGGGGCAUGAACCAGCCCCCUGGCAGGGGGUCGACCCCUAGCGCCCUCAUUAAAGUGCCAAUCAAAAAGAGUAAUGGAACAGGGAAUGGAAAGCUGGCUUCUUCAGCCUGUUACUGCACACAGUCUGAGCAACUUGCACAAGCCAAGGGAAACAUUUCUCUUCUGAAGAGGAGCCAGGCUUCCAGAAAUACCUCCUCUCUCCUUGUCUCUUUGUGUGCAAUGCUGAGACCCUCCUGUGCAUCCUGCCUGUGGUGGGAGCCGGUGGUGGGAGCCUGUUGCUUACCACAGUGCAAGCAGUGGGAAGAAGUGUGGCCGAAUGUAACCUGGAAAGGAUGUAGAUGCUGCUUCUGUGGAAUACAGCAGUCAGUGAUUGGUUACAGCAUGGCUUCUCUUGCACGUUGCUCGGAUUUCAGCAUUUGCGUGUGAAAGAUGGGCAGAAAACGGUAGAUGCAGAAGUCAUGCUGGUGUGCACAGAAAGUGUACUGCUGUGCUCUUAUGGGUUAUUUCAACUUUCUGCAGGAACCCACAGCAAACAGUGAUACCAGGGUGAACGCAGCACUGCUGUGCUGUUUGUCCUUGGUGGUGAAUAUUUCAAAGAGCUGUAUAACAUCUGCAUUGCCAGUGGAUGCUCAUCUUCCCGUUCUGAGUGCAUUCCAACAGUGGUGAUACUGUGGGAAUUUAUGUACCAUCUUGUGAUGCCUUCUGGGCUUCUGGUACAUUCUGCAGAUCAGCUUCGCUCUGGUGGGUGUUUGGCAGAGAGAACAAAAGGUAACGAGUGAAAAGAAAAAGCACCAUAAUACCUUAAUAGGUAUUACAAAUUUGGUUAAAAGCUUCUGUUGCCUGGAAGAUUGCAGGUGGCUACAGGGUGAUGCAUGAUCACAGGAAGGAGCCAUCCAGCCAUCCUUUGUUGCUUCCUGUUCUCAUGCUGUGCUGCAGUAAUGGCUCUUCUAGGUGCUUGAAGCUGCAGUCAGACCACGUUGUGGUGAAGAAGAGAAAGCAGCAGCAAGAUUCUGUGUUCUGAUGCUGGUCUUGUACUUCACUAUGGGAUCUUAGUCAAGGCCUCCUUUCAUGAGUAACCGAGCACUGUUACAGCCGUGUGAACCCAGGGGCAGUGUGAGGACCCAGCCUUGUGUACACAUCUGGUGCUGCUUUACUCACAUUCUCCCACUCAGAAAGUCUGAUGAUAAAGACCUUAGGAAAGGAGUACAUCUCAGUCCUAGAGAAACCGACCUGGAUUCUGUUAAUGGAACAUUUUCUCUGCGAGCUGCCAGUAACCCAGUGUAUGCCCAGACCCUGCUUUUCAGAGCUAGGUACAAGAGCUGAAUUAGCUGUGAUUAGAAAAUACAGGAAUGUUCUUUAAGGAAGAGAAGCAGAGCAAGCAAGUUUUUCCCUCGGGGUGUCAUCAUCUGGUGCUUCAUGCCCUGUAUGAAUCAGAGGCAGCAAGGGAGACAGAUACCUGAUCUGCUCCCCUCACCUGUGAUGUGCUGCAGCCUGCUACCAGCCAAGGACUGUCUCCAGGAAUUAAACUUACGUAUAAAAUUAUGUUAUGGGUAGGCUUCUGAAAUUUCAAGACAAUCUACUUUCAUGGCUGCAACUCCUAUCUCCUCCAAUAAAACCAGGCUGAAGGAUACUUAACUGCCUUCAUAAAGCUCAGAACUUCACGUGAUUUGAAUACCAUCAGCUCCAGACUGAUUCCUGCAGUUCACUCUGGCAGUAAGGAAGAUGUUUCAAGAGUCCAGCUCUAAUUGUUCUUGAUUUUCACUGAGUCUUAACAUAAGCUGUUGUUCAUAAUAAAGGCUCUUUGCAUAGUUUA